UUGGAUCUCUUAAUUUUUUGGAUAUGUCGUGCUAUUCACCCAUUUUGUGUGUUCAUGAAAUUGUGGAUACAGUUUGUUUUUUGAUCCGUCCGUGAAUACAAUCUAUGAUUAUGCCAAUGCAAUAGUGGACUUAAAAUCUUUACAGUUAAGGACUUUAGUACCAGCACACUUGUCAUUUGAAGAGGAUUGUGCAAGGAUCUUGCGUGGCUUGAGACUGGCUG
rnacentral:misc_RNA from 1 species